rnacentral:lncRNA from 1 species
GGGAACCAUGCCCGCCGAGCUGCCUCCCCACAGCUCGUGCCCCCGGCAGGGAGCUGCCGUCAGUGCCUGCCUGGGGCCUCGGCCUGCAGAGAGGUGGCCCUGGGGGGGAGUGGGAGGCGGUGCGAGGGCCACACAGGCCGAGGGAGCUGCCUGCUGUCCCUGACAGGAAUAGCGUGGUUAUCUGUGCAUACCUUCCUUGUUUGCACUGGGAGCAUGUUGCCAGCCCUGUUUAUUAUCUUGAUGAUCUGGAUGAGAGGAUUGAGUGCACCCUUAAUACGUUUGCAGGUGACACCAAAGUGGGAGGACGUGUCGAUCUGCCCCAGGGUAGAAAGGCCCUACAGAGGGAUCUGGACAGGCUGGGUAGCUGGGCUGAGGCCAGUGGGAUGAAGUUCAACAAGACCAAGUGCUGGGUCCUGCACUUUGGCCACAACAACCCCAGGCAACACUACAGGCUUGGGGCAGAGUGAGUGUAAGACUGUGUAGAAGAAAUGGACCUGAGAGUAUGGUUGACGCUCGGCUGAACGUGAGCCAUCAGUGUGCCCAGGUGGUCAAGAAGGCCAGUGACAUCCUGGCUUGUAUCAGAAUUAGUGCAGCCAGUAGGAGCCAGGGGGGUGAUCAUCUCUCUGUAUUCAGCUCUGGUGAGGCCAUACCUUGAGCAGAGUCAUAGAAUCACAGAAUCAUAGAAUGGUUUCAGUUGGAAGGGACUUGUAAAAUCAUUUAGUUCCAACCCCCUGCUAUAGGCAGGGAUGCCUCCCACCAGACCAAGUGGCUCAAAACCCCAUCCAGCCUGGCCUUGGAUGCUUCCAGGGAGGGGUCAUCUAGAGCCUCUCUGAGCAACCUGUUCCAGUGCCUCACCACCCUCACAGUAAAGUCUUACCUCUUAAUGUCUAGUCUAAA